GUAGAGAAAAAUGGGUGGAUUUGAGAAAUAAGUAAGGAGUACAGUUGGCAGGGCUCAUGAUGGAUCAAUUUGGAUACAGGGGUGUGAUGUUUUUCUUUUGACACCAAAUUGUGUGGGGUUUUUUUCCCCACACCAGCCACCAAUUUCCCAACACCAACUGGGUGUCCCACAAUUCAAUUCUGAUACUAACUAUCCAGAGCAAGUGUCAGACUCCAUAGGUUGAAGGGCUCAGCACCAGUCUGCCUUCACUUCAGAUGCCAGUUGAAAGUCCUGGGUUCCCAGGCUACCCACACUUCUGUCUGAUGUGGCUAUAAAUUCAGGGGUUCCCAUGACCGCUCUCCGUGGGGGUCAAUAAUUUGCUAAAAUGAUGUGCAAAACUCAGGAAAGCACUUAACUAUUCCUGGUUUAUUAUAAAGGAUACAACUCAGGAACAUCCAAAUGGAAGAGCUGCAUAGGGCAAGGUAUGGGGGGAGGAGGUACAGGCAGGGGAGAAACAGAGCUUCCAUGAUCCCUCCAGGCCACUCUCCCAGCACCUAGAUGUGUUCAUGCAUCCACCCCAUCCUUAGGGAUUUGUAUGGAGGUUUUAUUAUGUGGGCAUGAUUAAGUCAUUGGCCGUUGCUGACUCAACUCAACCUCCAGCCCCUCUCCCCUUCCUGGGUGUGUGUGUGUGGGGGGACAGGGGGCUAAAAGUUCCAACCUUCUAAGCAUAGCUUGGUCUUUCUGGCAACUAGCCCCCAUCCUAAAGCUAUCUAGGCUCCCCUACCCCCAGUCAUCUGGGGACUCCAAGGGUUUUAAGAGCUCUGCACCAAGAACCUAGGAUAGAGACCAAAUAUUUUUUAUUAUACCACAUGGGGUGAGGGAGAAGUCAAGGUGGACUUCAGGACCAGCACCCCACCCUGGGCUCAGCCUCGGGCUGUUAUUGGCCCUCCCAGUGUCUACCUGGUGCCAGGGUCCCUGGAUGGGGGCCCAAGGUCUUUUCCUACUCCCUACUCCUUUCUCCAGGAGAUUGUGACUGCUUUGGAGGAAGGCAAGAACAUUGUGCCCGUCACUGAUGGCUUCGAGUGGCCGGAGCCCCAGGCCCUGCCUGAGGACAUGCAGGCUGUGCUCACCUUCAAUGGCAUCAAGUGGUCCCACGAGUACCAGGAGGCCACCAUUGAGAAGAUCAUCCGUUUCCUGAAGAGACGUUCCUCCCAGGACUCAUCUGUGGGCUCUGACACCAGUUUGGAGGGUGCUGUCCCCAUGGGUCCUACUUAACCAGUCCCUCGUUCCCAAGCCCUGCUGUGACCCUCAUUUCCAUUGUCUCCCCCUGUAACGGUGACCCUCUAUCUUCUAUUUGGACAUUUAAACCUCUGGUAUAAUUCGAUUUGACAGCGUUUUGGUUUGGGACUUUUUGGAAAGUUUUUCUUUGCUUCCCUCCCCGCCCACCAACCCUUAAUGACUCUGUUUGCUAUGCAUGUACUAUGCAUAUCCAUUUCAGUGGUUCUGUUUACCUUAGGCCCAGUGCAAAACGGGUGACUUGGGAGAGGUUUUUGCACCUGUCUGGGAUCCUCUCCUGUUCCUGGGGCAGACCAGCCUCUGGGAAGCGUUUUUUUUUUUUCCUGGAGCUGCCUGGCCAACUCCUCCUUUCCUUUGUCUUGUCUCCUUACCUGCCCUUUUUUCAGGAAUUGCCUAACCAACUCCUUAUUUCCUCCGUUCUGCCUCUCCUUGCGUGUCUAUAAUACCUUUGGCGGUAUUAAGAGCGGGAAGGCAGUCUUUGUGCCAAGGAGUCCACUGUCUUCCCUUCACACUGGCAUUUUGAAAUAAACCAACCUCACCUCUCGAGAGGGCAGCCGGACCUUUUGCAAGGUAACACCCUGAAGGAGCAACUUCUCACACUAGCCUCCCUGGGCUGAGAUAGCCUGGGUCCUUCUCAGGAAAAGGCUUUCCCUCUCCCACACCUUCAUGGGCCCCUCAAACCCAGCUUCCUCAAUAUCUGGAAAGGGAAGGGAAGCCAAGUAUUGCAGGUGGUAAGGGUUAGACUGCCUCCAAGCCCUGCCACCAGGUUCUCUGUCUCAGGAAGGUCACUGCUCCAUUCUAGAAAUAACUGAAGAUCUAGGGUUCGUUGCACUCUACCCGCUCUCUUGCUCUGGCAUUAGCCAGCUUGAGGAGGAGGAAGGCGGACAGCCUCUGACAGGAAUUAGGGCAAUGCCCAGCCCUCUCAGCCAAGCAAGGGCCUGGGCCAGCCAGGGAUGAGAGUCCAGUGAUCUCUCCACCUAGCCCCUGGGAUCACCACUUCCUGCCACCCUGUGGCCUUGUCCUAUAACCACUCAGUGCCCUUAGCUGGCCUGGCCUGGUCCCAAGUCCCCUCCCAGCAUUCCUGAGGUACAGCUUACUGGGGUCAGGGUUAGGCUGAGCCGGCCCUCACUCUAGCUGGUUUGCAGUUGUGGCCAGUUUUUUUUCUCCUUUUUUUUUUUUUUUUAACUAAGCCAUCCUUGCGAGUUGUGGCCAGUUUUGAAGCACUCACUGGUGCAUGGGAGCCCCCUGCUUGGGCCUGGGCCUGGGCCUGGGCAGGGGAGGUCGUGUCUCAAAGGGCAGCCACCCACCCUGCCCAUGCAUGCCUUAGUUCUGUGCCCCAGGCUCCUGCCUGGCCUGGCCCAGCUGGCUUCCCAAGCCCUUCACCCACCCAAGGCUGCCUACCCACUUCCCAUGAAGAGGCAGCCCCUGUGGUAGCAGCAGUAGCCUGGGCAGAACCUGCAGCUCCAGGGGAAGAGGGGAGGUCCUGAAGAAGGGCAAGGGGUGCAUUCGAAUCACCUGGGAACUCUGUGGAAAUUCCACUCAGGAGACCUGGGGCGGUGGCCUGAGUUUCUGCAUUUCUCAGAUUCCCAGGUGAGCUGAUGAUGCCGGUGGUCAAGGAACGACACUUUAAGUAGCAAGUCUCUGAAACACAAAUCCCUAGUAGAUCUUUGCCAUUUCCCUUGCACCCCACUCUAUAGUCUAGGCAAUCAUCGAGUAGCCUUACCCGGUAUUAUCUCCAUGUUACAGAGGAACCAAAUGAUGUGCCAUUUCCCAAGCGAGUGGCAGUCCAGGAUCCAGACCUGGCCUCCUGGUGCUCAGUCCACUGCUGGUGGGACUGCUCUCCUGAGAAUCAUCCCGGAGGCUAUGGCCAGGGCUGGGCUGCUGCUCCAGGCAGCUGGUUUCUCUCCUGCCCUGAAGAAUCUAAAAGUGGAGGGUAGGUAUUUGACCCAGGGGCUAUGCAGAAAUAAAU